UUCUUACACUGGCUUUUUCUUUAGGUAGCGUUUUUCUUCUUGCAUUAUUUGCGUUGAAAAAUAUUAUUAAUAUAAAGUUUUCAUCACCGCCAGGUAGCAGCAGCUCAACAUAUUCCUGAUCCUUCUCUUUCGCGCCACAACCAGGGGAGUGGGUGUAAGUCGA